CCCAAUAAUGAUACAAACAUAUACAAAUAACAUGAAAAACGUUGAAUCUGUCGACUAACAUCUGCUGGAAAGCCAAGUUAAACUAUGCGCGUACACACACAUGUCCACCACAGAUAAGCGUGAUCCCACCGGCACUGAUAAAACACCGGUGUACCGACAAAACAUGCUACCUAUCAGAUUGUGCUACCAAUAAUAUAUUUGCAUUGUUUUAAGGGUAAGUUUAGGGUAAGGGUAGGUGUGGACGGGUAGGUUUAGGGUAGGGGUAGGUAUUAAAAAAAGCCUCAAACCACAUGAAUAAGAUGCUGGUAACACAAUCUGAUAGGUAGCAUUUUUCGCUAUCGAUUUGUGCUACCGUAUUUGUAUUUUUUUUUUAAGACGAACAGCGGUGAAAAUGAAUUCUGCCGUUUUGUGGAAGUUGGUGGAUGUUUUGGUCGUGCUUGGUGUUUACUGUGAUGGUACAGAUGAAGUGUCAGUGAUGGAGGGAGAUUCAGUCACUCUACACACUGGUGUUAAAGCAGACCAGCAUGAAAAGAUUAAAUGGUUCUUUAAUGACACUCGAAUCGCUGAAAUCAAUGGCAUUAUGAGAUAUAUCUGUACGGAUGAUCAGUGUAAUGAGAGAUUCAGAGACAGAUUGAAGCUGGAUCAUCAGACUGGAUCUCUGACCAUCACAAACACCAGAACCACAGACUCUGGACUUUAUCAUCUAGAGAUCAUCAACAUUGGUCAUGAGAGUGAAAAGACCUUCAGUGUUACUGUUCAUGGUGUUUCUGCUGCUGCUGCACUAAAUGCAACGAAGAGAAAGUCAGUGAAGGAGGGAGAAUCUGUCACUUUAGAGCUUCCUGAAGAAAGAAAACCAAAUGAUCUGAUGACAUGGUAUUUUAAUGACACUCUCAUCGCUGAAAUCAGUGGAGAUCAGAGUAAGAUUUGUUCAGAUGUUCAGUGUGAUGAGAGAUUCAGAGACAGAGUGAAGCUGGAUCAUCAGACUGGAUCUCUGACCAUCAUGAACACCAGAACCACAGACUCUGGACUUUAUCAACUACAGAUCAACGGCAGCAUUAGGAUAAUAUUAGCUGCAUUAACUGUCAAUGUUGUCGCUGAUUCAGGCCUGUCUCCAGCUGCUGUAGCAGGAAUUGUUGUUGUGAUGCUCAUUGCUGCUGCUGCUGUGAUUUACUAUUGCAGACACAGAGCAAGAAGGAAAGGAAUCGACAUCCAGUGCAGUCAUGUUCAGGUGAAUAGAUACUCACCCCCUAAUCAGAAUGCAACUCAAUUUUAACUGCGUAUGCUGUAAGUGGGAAUCCACAGUCACAUUAAUAAUUAGACAUUAAUAACAAUGGAUCUGUGCAGCAUUAAAGUGCCAUUGCCGGUGAGACUGGGAUUUGCAUCCAAAACCAGUGGACAGCACACCGUUUCCUGUUAUCCGCUGCCUGCAGUUAAACAUUUACACAUUACAGUUUGUAUAUACAUAUUUGACUCCAGCUUGUAAGCUUAUGGUUUUCUUGGUUCUUGGUUUAUUUAAUUGCACUUUAUCUGUUUGUGUCUUUAGAUUUCUGUUACAAUAUGUAUCUUGAAAGGCGGUUUUCUUAAAAUUAGCCUUUUUUCCACUUCUGCAGCACUUUUACCAAACUUUACAGUUUCACUUCUAUCUUUGUUCUCAAUUAAUUUUUUUUAAUUAAUUUUUUUUUAUUUAUAACAUUUUAUUGCAAAAAAAAUGCCCCCUCUGUUGUCUGUUGACAGUUUUUAUUACUUACAGUGUGAUUAAAAACAGAACUAAAUCCCCCUAAAAUCUCUAUGACUGUACUGUCAACAAAAUAAAUAAUUAUUCCGAUCUCUGUGCAUACUCAGUGGGAUUAAGUUUAAUUUGCAUGUGUAUUAUUUCAGAAAACCUGUAAUUCAAAACUGUACUGUAGUAGUCUUACUGUACUAUUAUUUAAUCUUCUGAGGAAGUAUGGUGAUGUGGUCAUUAACAUUAUUACCGUGUUCACCUGUAGCCUUAAGUAAAUAAAUAUAUAUAUAUAUUGUGGCGGGGGUGAAGAAUCACACACGACAAGA